CCCUUCCGACUCUACAAUUCUAUGAUUCUAAGAAUAUUGCAUAAUUUACAGUAGGACGGCUUGCAUCCCACUCUGGCUGAUACCAUUGCAGAGAGUACACAGUUCCCUCUGUAUCCACUUCCAAACCAUCUAUAGGCCUGGGAGGCCAUAUAAGCAUGAGGAUGAACACAAUCACCUGUGAAUGACAGUUCUUGGGAGAGAUUUCAGAGAUGGAGGUUUUCCAUGUUUCAUGCAUUUCCACAUGGCUUGCAAAAGGUUCAGCUGCUUUCUUUUGAACUCUCCGCUUUGCCUUCUGCAGUAAGGAUUCAAAGGAGCUGAUUGUGAUGGGGAACACAAUUGAGGUUACCUUAAAAAAAAGUUUCCUAAAUAAAACUGGUAAAACAA